AGAGUUUGAUCCUGGCUCAGAUUGAACGCUGGCGGCAGGCUUAACACAUGCAAGUCGAGCGGUAACAUUUCUAGCUUGCUAGAAGAUGACGAGCGGCGGACGGGUGAGUAAUACUUAGGAAUCUACCUAGUAGUGGGGGAUAGCACGGGGAAACUCGUAUUAAUACCGCAUACGACCUACGGGAGAAAGGGGGCAGUUUACUGCUCUCGCUAUUAGAUGAGCCUAAGUCGGAUUAGCUAGAUGGUGGGGUAAAGGCCUACCAUGGCGACGAUCUGUAGCUGGUCUGAGAGGAUGAUCAGCCACACCGGGACUGAGACACGGCCCGGACUCCUACGGGAGGCAGCAGUGGGGAAUAUUGGACAAUGGGGGAAACCCUGAUCCAGCCAUGCCGCGUGUGUGAAGAAGGCCUUUUGGUUGUAAAGCACUUUAAGCAGUGAAGAAGACUCCUCGGUUAAUACCCGUGGACGAUGACAUUAGCUGCAGAAUAAGCACCGGCUAACUCUGUGCCAGCAGCCGCGGUAAUACAGAGGGUGCAAGCGUUAAUCGGAAUUACUGGGCGUAAAGGGAGCGUAGGUGGCUCGAUAAGUCAGAUGUGAAAUCCCCGGGCUCAACCUGGGAACUGCAUCUGAUACUGUUGAGCUAGAGUAUGUGAGAGGAAGGUAGAAUUCCAGGUGUAGCGGUGAAAUGCGUAGAGAUCUGGAGGAAUACCGAUGGCGAAGGCAGCCUUCUGGCAUAAUACUGACACUGAGGCUCGAAAGCGUGGGUAGCAAACAGGAUUAGAUACCCUGGUAGUCCACGCCGUAAANCGAUGUCUACUAGUCGUUGGGUCCCUUGAGGACUUAGUGACGCAGCUAACGCAAUAAGUAGCCCGCCUGGA
rnacentral:rRNA from 1 species